AUGAAGCAAACAAAAUGGAUUAGGCCGGUUCCGGGAACGGUGAAGCUCAACGCAGAUGGCGCAGUGGCGAAGAAUCUGAACAAGGGCGCUGUUGGUGUUGUAUGCCGGAGUCAUGAUGGACUGUAUCUGGGUGCGUCGGCAGUGGUGUUCGACGGUGUGACGGAUUCCACAACCCUUGAAGCUCUUGCAUGUCGAGAGGCUUUAUCACUGGCCGAGGAUCUG
rnacentral:rRNA from 1 species